CUAAGUCCUCCUGGUGGCGUAGACUCGCCUCAAUCCGGGUGGCAGAGGACGAAUCUCAGUUGCCUCCGCGUCUGAGACCAUCAAUCCGUGCAUCUCAUCACAUGGCUUGUUGAAGUCAUUACCACGGAGACGUAGUGCAUGUGGAAGGUUCACAGGUGCUGGAAACAGGACAACAGGUGAUCGCUGCAAUGGAAACGUUUUUCCUGUACGUCAUUCUGAUGAAUGUGUACUAUGAUUGGCUACCCUUCAUCUCAGAGAGAAUACGCAAUUUAAACUGACGAAAGAAAUACAGAUAAGUGGCGAGAAGCGUGCUUUUGGAACUCCUCCCUUUCAAAAGUUUAGCCUUUUUAUUUUGCUGUCCUAAUUUACUGUACAUGAUGGAUGAUAAUUUUAUUGUUUGCAUAACACACAAUGCAAUGUAAUGAGGCUGCUUUUUAUUUAAGAUUAACACUGAGGGCCGUUCUUUCACAUGUUGACUUGAUCUUGACUAACUGUUCUUUUAUUACAGAUUAGUAAGGGAGCAUAGCUGCAGUUUGUGCUCUAAACUGAAUAGAGAGACUUAAUGAAGUUUAGAAGACAAAGGUAGCAGAUAUAAUACAGGUUCAAAUGAAGGCGGCUCUCUGAGUGUUGAGUGAGAGUGUUGGGUUCUGGCUUGGUUUGGGUUCUGUAGAACCAGCGGCAUGGAGGGAACACUACUCAGCAUCAGAGCACAAAUCAGCAUCAUCACACUCCAGAUCUUCAUCUUACUCUCAGUCUCAGCUCAGAGAGUCUGCAUCAGUCAGCACAAACUCACAUUAGGAAACAUUCAGCUGAAGGCAUGUGCAGAGAAGGUAGCUGGAGUGAACUUUGAAGUUUUCACUGCCAGGUAUUUGCCAGACAGGUUACUCAAGGAAUAAACUAUGUAAUCAAGGCAUGGGUUGGAGACAAUCAGUACAUUCAUUUGAUGGUUUAUGAAUCUCUCCCUCACGAUGGAGGGAAACUGGAGCUGCGUGGAAUCCCGCACCUUAAAACAAACGACGACCCUUUAGUACCUUUUUGAAUACAUGUAAACACACAGAAUUUGUCAACACUUUUAUUUCAUUCCAAAAUUAAUAUUUAAGUGGACCCAGUAUUCAGAUGCUCCAGUGUCUGGUAUAGAUGUGAUCAACUCAUCUUAAUUCACUUCAAUGUGCUAAAAAUAUUCCUUAUCCCAAAACUGCUUUGAAAAUAAAAAAAUAAAGAUAUUUUAAU